GUGUGGCUCAGUGGUAGAGCACUUGCCUAUCAUGCAUGAGGCCCUGGGUUUGACCCUUAGCAC
rnacentral:tRNA from 1 species